GUGAGUGUAGCUCAACGGUCAGAGCACUGGACUGUGGCUCCAGGGGUUGGGGGUUCGAGUCCCCUCACUCACC
rnacentral:tRNA from 1 species